UCUCUUUUGUUUCUCUUCAAAUCACGAAUAAAUUUUUUGCCUUUUACUAUAAAGAUUUCCCUGGAGGGGAACACUAAAGAGUAUUGUUCUACAAAAUCUAGCUAUGAAAGUACCUACAAA